AAGAUUUUAGGUUACUUAAACCAAUAGCCUUCAAAGCUGUAAAAAAAAGUUUUAUUCUUUUAAAUCUUA
rnacentral:tRNA from 1 species